GGAAAUUCCAAGUGUUAGCGCUGAAAAUGAGGUAGAUAUUAAGGAGGAGACACCAGUGGCGGAAGAGCGGGCUGAUUGACUGUAAUUACGUUGAGGCUCGAAAAGCGUGGGGGAGCAAACAGGAUUAGAUACCCUGGUAGUCCACGCCGUAAACGAUGAUUACUAGGUGUCGGAGGGUAUGGACCCUCCGCUGCCGCAGCAAACGCAGUAAGUAAUCCACCUGGGGAGUACGUUCGCAAGAAUGAAACUCAAAGGAAUUGACGGGGAGCCGCACAAGCGGUGGAGCAUGUGGUUUAAUCUGAAGCAACGCGAAGAACCUUACCAAGUCUUGACAUCUGGAUGACAGGGACGUAACGGUCCCCUUACUUCGGUACAUCCAAGACAGGUGGUGCAUGGUUGUUGUCAGCUCGUGUCGUGAGAUGUUGGGUUAAGUCCCGCAACGAGCGCAACCCUUAUCCUUAGUAGCCAGCGGGCAGGGCCGGGCACUCUAGGGAGACUGCCGGGGAUAACCCGGAGGAAGGUGGGGAGGACGUCAAAUCAUCAUGCCCCCUAUGAUUUGGGGUACACACGUGCUACAAUGGCGUAAACAGAGGGAAGGGAACCCGCGAGGGGGAGCAAAUCCCAAAAAAAACGUCCCAGUUCGGAUUGUAGCCUGCAACCCGGCUACAUGAAGCUGGAAUCGCUAGUAAUCGCGGAUCAGAAUGCCGCGGUGAAUAAGUUCCCGGGUCUUGUACACACCCCCCCUCA
rnacentral:rRNA from 1 species